AUGGCUUCCACUUCGCUCGUUGCAACUAUCGUGUGUAGCAGCAGCAGCACUAGUAGGAGCGCAGCCUUACCAAGAAGCUUCUGCAAGAACCAUCACAGGCCACCUCUCAGGCCUCUCAGGAGCAGCUCCCUCGUCAGGUGCUCGCUGCGGGAGCAAGAUCGGGCGACGGAGAACCGGCCGGUCUCCUCCACUGCCGUUGCUCCUGACGAGCAAAAGGUCGAGGAGGCGAAGAAGGUGUCGUCCCAUCAUGCCGGAGGAGGAGGGGGAGGAGAUCAUCAGGAAGGAGGUGAUGAUGGUGAUGACAGAGAGAAGAGCAGGGAUGAGCAGCAGGAGGUGGACUGGAGGUCGGACGAGGAGUUCAAGAAGUUCAUGGGCAACCCGUCCAUCGAGGCGGCCAUCAAGCUCGAGAAGAAGCGCGCUGACCGGAAGCUCCGGGAGCUCGACCGCGAGCCCGACGCCAGCCCGGUCGGCGGCCUGCUCCGUGGGUUCAUCAAGGGCACGCUCGAACGGGAGAAGCAGAGGCUGGAGGAGGCCGAGCAGACCUUCAAGGCGCUCGACCUCAACAAGCUCAAGAGCUGUUUCGGGUACGACACGUUCUUCGCGGUGGACGUGCGGAGGUUCGGCGACGGCGGCAUCUUCAUCGGCAACCUGAGGAAGCCCAUCGAGGAGGUGAGGCCCAGGCUGGAGAAGAAGAUCGCGGAGGCGGCCGGGACAGAGGUCACCCUGUGGUUCAUGGAGGAGAGGAGCGACGACAUCACCAAGCAGGUCUGCAUGGUGCAGCCGAAAGCAGAGAUCGAGCUGCAGCUCGAGGUGACCAGGCUGAGCACGCCGUGGGGCUACCUGAGCGCCGUGGCCUUGGCCGUGACGACCUUCGGGACCAUAGCUCUCAUGAGCGGCUUCUUCCUCAAGCCCGGCGCGUCCUUGGACGACUACGUCUCCGACGUCAUCCCCCUCUUCGGAGGCUUCCUCUCCAUCCUCGGCGUGUCCGAGAUCGCGACGAGGUUGACGGCGGCGAGGUACGGGGUGAAGCUGAGCCCGUCGUUCCUGGUGCCGUCGAACUGGACGGGGUGCCUGGGCGUGAUGAACAACUACGAGUCGCUGCUGCCGAACAAGAAGGCGCUGUUCGACAUCCCCGUCGCCCGCACGGCCAGCGCGUACCUGACGUCGGUGGCGCUGGCCGUCUCGGCCUUCAUCGCCGACGGCAGCUUCAACGGCGGCGAGAACGCCCUGUUCAUCCGGCCGGAGUUCUUCUACAACAACCCGCUGCUGUCGUUCGUGCAGCAGGUGAUCGGGCCGUACGCGGACGAGCUGGGGAACGUGCUGCCCAACGCGGUGGAGGGCGUGGGCGUGCCGGUGGACCCGCUGGCGUUCGCGGGGCUGCUGGGGAUCGUGGUGACGUCGCUGAACCUGCUGCCGGUCGGGCGGCUGGAGGGCGGCCGGGUCGCGCAGGCGCUGUUCGGGCGGCGCACGGCGGCGCUGCUGUCGUUCGGCACGUCGCUGCUGCUGGGGGCGGGCGCCGUCGGCGGCAGCGUGCUGUGCCUGGCGUGGGGGCUCUUCGCCACCUUCAUCCGCGGCGGGGAGGAGAUCCCGGCGCAGGACGAGAUCACGCCGCUCGGGAGCGAGCGCUACGCGUGGGGCUUCGUGCUCGCCGUCGUCUGCCUCCUCACGCUCUUCCCCAACGGCGGCGGCACCUACUCCAGCUCCUUCCUCGGCGAGCCCUUCUUCAGGGGCGGCAUCUAG
rnacentral:rRNA from 1 species